AUUGAACGCUGGCGGCAUGCCUUACACAUGCAAGUCGAACGGUAACAGGUCUUCGGAUGCUGACGAGUGGCGAACGGGUGAGUAAUACAUCGGAACGUGCCCGAUCGUGGGGGAUAACGGAGCGAAAGCUUUGCUAAUACCGCAUACGAUCUACGGAUGAAAGCAGGGGACCGCAAGGCCUUGCGCGGACGGAGCGGCCGAUGGCAGAUUAGGUAGUUGGUGGGAUAAAAGCUUACCAAGCCGACGAUCUGUAGCUGGUCUGAGAGGACGACCAGCCACACUGGGACUGAGACACGGCCCAGACUCCUACGGGAGGCAGCAGUGGGGAAUUUUGGACAAUGGGCGCAAGCCUGAUCCAGCCAUGCCGCGUGCAGGAUGAAGGCCUUCGGGUUGUAAACUGCUUUUGUACGGAACGAAAAGGCUCUGGUUAAUACCUGGAGUUUAUGACGGUACCGUAAGAAUAAGCACCGGCUAACUACGUG
rnacentral:rRNA from 1 species